GUCAAGAAGACGUAAACGGCGUAUGGGCAAGAACGCACUGUGAAACGCCAAUCGGACUGCACGUCGCGAAUGUUUGCAGAAACUUAGGAGGAACUUGAAGAGAAACAGGAUAAGAAGAUUCCGAACGUACGGUGGGAAGGGGGUGUAUGUCGCGACCUGCAUGGAAAACAGGAGUGUCAUGUGUCAUCUUCUCUGAGAAAAUACAAGAUGUGAGGUGGCCAACGAACGAAAGGUCCCUGUGGUCCGUGAGUGCAUCGCACAGUCAGGCAUAUGUUUUGUCUAGACACGUGCAGCGACGCAGAGGCUAACUGAGCUGUCGAAGUACAACUGUUGAGACUGAUCUCUUC